GCAAGUCGAGCGGUAACAGAGAUAGCUUGCUAUCUGCUGACGAGCGGCGCACGGGUGCGUAACGCGUAUACAAUCUACCUUAUACUGGGGUAUAGCCUUUAGAAAUGAAGAUUAAUCCCCCAUAGUCUCUUAAAGUGGCAUCACUUAAGGAGUAAAGGUUACGGUAUAAGAUGAGUAUGCGUUCUAUUAGUUUGUUGGUGUGGUAACGGCACACCAAGACUACGAUAGAUAGGGGCCCUGAGAGGGGGAUC
rnacentral:rRNA from 1 species